UACGUAGGGUGCAAGCGUUGUCCGGAAUUAUUGGGCGUAAAGAGCUCGUAGGCGGUCUGUCGCGUCUGGUGUGAAAAUCCAGGGCUUAACCCUGGACCUGCAUCGGGUACGGGCAGACUAGAGUGCGGUAGGGGAGAUCGGAAUUCCUGGUGUAGCGGUGAAAUGCGCAGAUAUCAGGAGGAACACCGGUGGCGAAGGCGGGUCUCUGGGCCGAUACUGACGCUGAGGAGCGAAAGCGUGGGGAGCGAACAGG
rnacentral:rRNA from 1 species